AUCCAACUGACGAGUCGUAAAUAGAACGAAAUGAGCAUCAUGGAU
rfam:Schistosoma curassoni strain Dakar, Senegal genome assembly, scaffold: SCTD_scaffold0010839